rnacentral:misc_RNA from 1 species
AAUGUCGUAUUGGCCGCUCUCAGGUUACUCUCUGCUGAUAAUAUUGAUUGCUUUAGCUAUGUUCAAGACAAUACAGCUAGCAACUAUUGCCGAUGCACAGCAAGGGGAAAGACAACACGCCGUUACAGAGGCCUCUCGGGAUUCCUCCGCCAGCACGAAAAUUUAUUCAGGGCUGACAAUCUUCAGUAUUAUCUCGUCGGUGAUUCGGCUCGGUUUGAUUCAAACGAUUUCGGAUGCCACCGUAGGUUAUCAAACUGUCGAUUUCAGUGAAUCCAUGUACCGAAAUAAACCUGUCAAGGGAUUCCAAUCCCCUUUAAUCGUCCUUAACCGUAAUAAGCCACCAACAAGCGCCGAAAAAGCUAACGAUGCAUCAAGGAAUCAGCAAAAAGUACCAAACAAUUCUACCAAGCCGUUUAGAAGUAACUCACAAAUCUUGAGUCUGUUCGAAGAAGCGAUUCGGGAAAACGAUGAUAAUUACGAUAACAUAGUAGAAACUAAUCCGUCGAAGAAAGAAAAAUCCAAUGAUAAUCCAGCUGGCGAGAAGAAGACGUCAACUGUUGCAUCGCGCUCGAAAGUUAUCUUUAAUGUGGUAUAUGGCAAAAUAUCUUCAAAGAAACACAAAACAUGGGAUGGCGAUGGAUUGCUAGAAGUGGCUGGGAAAAGUGCAGUGCUUAAGGAUUUGGAUGGUAAUGUUAUUGGAAGAGCUACAGUUAAUCCAAGCAAUGCAGUAGAAGGUUCCAGAUUAAUCAUAGCAAGCAAAGAAAUAGAGAUAAUAGAUCAAGCAUCUGAAGAGCUAUCAGUAGUAUCAGAGAAGCGUUCGGAAGAAACAGUAGAAGAGCCAUUGCAGAAAAAAUUUAAGGCAUGUCCUGCAUAUGCAUUUGUGCCUCCAUUGCCCAAAAAAGGAUUGACAUUAAAUUGCAAACCUUUGGUGAUGCCAUAUAUGAAUUCUACUGCUAUAUGGAUAAGUCAGGAAGCUUCGCAAAAGGAGCAGGAAGUAUCAGUUGACUCUUGUUUAGUAGCAAUGCUCAGAGAACACCAACGACAUGGCAUUGUUUUUCUCUAUGAAUGUUUGAUGGGUCUGAAAGUAGCAAAUUAUUUUGGUGGGAUUUUAGCCGAUGAAAUGGGUCUUGGCAAAACAUUACAAUGUAUCACAUUAAUUUGGACAAUGUUGAAGAAAGGUCCAUAUAGCAAACCAAUUUUGAAGCGUGCAUUGAUACUAGCGCCCAGUAGUUUGUGUGACAAUUGGAAGAAGGAAUUUGCAAAGUGGUUAGGCUGUCACAGAGUAUCUCCGUUUGUUGUGGAUGGGAAAAAUAAACCUAAGGACUUCACCAGUCGACCAAGAAAUUCGGUGAUGAUUAUUAGUUAUGAAAUGUUCAUCAGAUGUCAUAUGGAAAUUAAUGAAAUUGCCUUCGACCUGAUCGUGUGCGACGAAGGCCAUAGAUUGAAGAAUAGCAAUAUAAAGGCAGCAAAAUUAUUAUACGAGGUAAACUGUAAGAAACGAAUUAUCUUAACCGGCACUCCUAUACAAAAUGACUUGAAGGAAUUUUAUGCAUUAGUGGAUUUUGUUAAUCCCAGCAUUCUUGGUACUCCAAGCGAAUAUAGAAAUUAUUAUGAGGAUCCCAUCGUCGCGUCUCAAUCUCCUCAUGCGUCCGACGACGUUCUCAGUUUGGGAAACGAAAGGGCCAUGGAGUUGCACGAAUGCACCAAACGUUUCAUCCUGAGACGCACGCAAGAAACGAUAAAUAAGUACCUGCCGUGUAAGCAUGAGAUGGUAUUGUUUUGCUCUCUAUCAAGUAAACAAGAAGAUUUAUACUCUCUCGUCACCGAUGCCUGGUUCGACCGAAUUUUUACACAGGAUAAAACUAUUACACACUUGACUAUCAUCACGGCGCUUAAAAAAAUUUGCAAUCAUCCGAGUCUGUUCACGAACGAUAAAGGAGGUGUGCUGUAUGACGCUCUAUCAACGCGCGUAACGCCGACGAAACACGACGAAAAUUUUACAAGAUAUUGCGGAAAGAUUACAAUUGUACAGACGCUGAUGAGAAACUUGAAGAACACUAACGAGAAGUUGGUGUUGGUUUCCUAUUACACGCAAACGCUCGAUCUUCUCCAAACCGUAUGUAGUGUGGAACGUUUGAAGUAUUUGAGAUUAGAUGGUGCCACUUCGACCACCACGCGAUCGAAAGUUAUUGAACAAUUUAACACGAAAACCGAUGAAAGCAAAAUCCUCCUAUUAAGUGCGAAGGCAGGUGGGGUUGGUCUAAAUUUACCAGGGGCAUCUAGACUUGUGUUAUUUGAUUCUGAUUGGAACCCCGCGUCUGAUAUGCAGGCUAUGGCAAGAAUCUGGAGAGACGGGCAGAAGAAGGAUGUUUAUAUUUAUAGAUUGCUGACGACAGGUACAAUAGAGGAAAAAAUAUACCAAAGACAAAUCAGCAAAGCUGGUCUGAGUGAAUUCGUGGUAGAUCUGAAUCACCUUAGGUCUUUAAAAUUAUCAACUGAGGAACUGAAGGAUCUAUUUACACUGACAACCGAUACGGUCUCUGUGACGCACGAUUUGAUGAAUUGCUCUUGUUCUGGUAAAAAUAAUGAACAUAUAUCUAUUGAAAAGUUUCAAACAGACAAUGGUAGCAUGCGCGAUUGCCAGUUUGUAUUGCAGGAUAAGUCGUCUACUACACAAAACUUAACUAUAAAUCAGUUAUUAGAUUGGCAACAUUACAAGCAACCGAUUCUACCCGAUAUUAUGCAGAUUACAUGGGGUCUAGGGAUUGGCGUCAGCCUGGGGUUUUACAGCGCACAGUCAUUUAUUGAAUGAAUGAGAAUAAAGAGGUUAAGAAAAUAAGCUUCCUUUCUUCUCUAACGAAGAACCGUUCAAGAACAGCGAUAAGGAACACAGCUAGCGGCCAUACUGUGACUGAAAAGAAACUGAAAAGAAGUCUUGACUUUAUCAACAAAAUUUAGUACGACCUAUUUUAUUCGAAAGAAAAUGGAACAUGGUGAAGAAUUCUUUCAGCGUAUAUCUCUUUUCUACUUUGAUAUGGGGAAAAGUCUUACUGAAACUCAUCAAUUGCUCAGUGAAGUUUAUGGUGACAAUACUCCAUCGAAAACAACUUGCGAAAAAUGGUUUGAACGAUUUAAAAAUGGAGAUUUUAACAUAGAAGACAAACAACGUCCAUGCCAAAAGUCAAAAAAGUUUGGAAACAACGGAUUGCAAGCAUCGUCAAAUAAAAAUCCAUUUCAAACGACCAAAGAAUUGGCAGAAGCAUCAAAUGUCACCGACGGAGAUGUUUCCAGACGUUUAUCCGUCAUAGGAGAAACUCAUAAAGAAGGAAGAUUGAAUGUAUUAGAUGAUGCUGCAAGCUUUGCUCGUGUUUCUAUCGCUACUUCUUUGUUCGCAAGGCGAAUCCGGACCAACCAUCAACUUCGACGGCCGGACGGAAUAUUCACAGAGUAAUGUUGUGUAUUUGGUGGGAUCUGGAAGGCAUAGUGUAUCAUGAGCUACUGCAACCAGAUGAAAUAGACACAACCGACCGCUACAAACAACAAAUGGAACGUCUGAAUGAGGAAUUGAUGCAGAAAA